GGUUGCAAUCAUACCAGCACUAAUGCACCGGAUCCCAUCAGAACUCCGCAGUUAAGCGUGCUUGGGCGAGGGUAGUACUAGGAUGGGUGACCCCCUGGGAAGUCCUCGUGUUGCAACCC
rnacentral:rRNA from 1 species